rnacentral:lncRNA from 1 species
UACUAUUAGUAAUAUAAAUAUUUCUGUGCUACUAAAUUAUCUUUAAUGAUGCAGUUUUUAAAUCGACGUUCGGUUCUAUUAGAUUUGAUCUACACCGUUGAAAGUAUUUAAAAAUUAAAUUUUUUAAUUUUUCGAUAUUAUUUACCUAUCAAACGAGUAGUCUAAAAAAUAAACGGCUAAAAAAAAAAUCUCAUAAGAAAUAAUGAUAAAAGACUUGAAUUUAAGAUCAGAGAUGCUGAUCUUACUCUAAAUAGUAAAAAAAAAAAUUUCUAUAAAAAUUUCACCAAACUUUGAUUGUUUUAUACUGUUUAAUUCACAAACGCGUCAUAUCGACGAUUAAAAUUGUUAGUUUUGAGAUCUUUUGAUCACUAAUCAAAUAAUGUCGAAAAAUUAUGAAAUUUAGUUUUCAAAUACUUUCGAUAGUGUAAAUCAAGUCUAACGAAAUAAAUUGUCGAUUUGAAAAUCGCAUCAUUGAAAAUAAUUUGAUAAUACGAAGAACUCCGUACUACUAAUAGUGUAGCAGCUUAACUCUAUAAAUAAUAUAUAUUAUUAACUUUUCAGUCAUUUAAUGCUUAUAAU